ensembl:lncRNA
UGGGUCUGAUCUCUCCGGGGAGGGGGGGGGAGGGAGAUCAGGGGAGUGCCUUCUUUGUACCUUCCUGGUUUGGGAAGGAAUGUGCAGAAUGUGCAGGAAAGGAGACUGGUUCUGGUGUGGCCUGGUUAUCACAAAUGUCCUAGAAGACCCAUUGGGCACCUGGUGUGGCUGAUGGCAAGUUCUAGAAAGGAAAAGGGUCUGGCUUGGAGGAGCAGGCUCUCUGAGGGUUGGAUCGGCAAACAGAGCUAUAUGUCCAAGAAGAUGGAGCUGAGCCCUUGCAGGCUUUCUGGCUAUUUGCCCUUCACCCUUCACCUGUCCACACUGCCUCACGAUGACAUUUGUGAUGUCCUUGGUCUUUGGCAGACAAUACCUCUGAGUACGAGUGUCCAGGGAGAAACCUAAGAUCCGCAGUGAGGAGGAGAAUUAAGAAGAUGGAGUUCACAUUCAGAGCUCAGGCUGGAGGCGAGUGGCAGACGAUGAAAAGGAGAAGAAAAGUCCUAGGAGCAAAGUUGCCCAUUGCAUGCCUGAAGGAAUGAAUGAGCCAGGGCUGUGUGGUCUGCACAGAUGGUUGCAACGUUGGCAAAGCAUUCUCAGUUGUUACAAAAGCUCCAGGAGCCCACAUUUCACAGCUGAGGAAACAGGCUCAAAGUCACACAUCAAAUAAUGCAGCCAGGACUUCACCUCUUAGGACAUCAGAUGUGCACCCUUGGGGUUUUCCUCCCACUUCAGCGUGGGCUGCCAGGCCUCUCCUGAGCAAUCACUGGGGAAAGGGGCAAGUGCUUGCCUGGCAGGGAGAGAGGGAGCGAGAGAGGACUCUGCCAAGGAUCAACUCCAGACUCAUUUCUCUAGCAACCCUUGUCAUAAAAUAUCUUGCCUCAGUGAGCAUUGAGUAUGAAUCCAGGCUGUUUGAGAUUGUGCCAUCCUUACUUGACAGUUUAAUUGUGAUCCUAUAGAUGAUCAGUUUAGUCUGUGACUGGGGCUACAAGGACCUAGGGCAUGGGAGUUGUGAUCUAGAUGCAGACAGACAGCCUUUGACCUGGGACUUGGAGGGCAGGUAGGCAACUCCACUUUACCUCCCACUAGCUCUCUGCCUCAUUUUCUUUUGCACCUUUGAGCUAACUCCUGGCGCUUUCCCCACAGGACCCUGGUCAGCUGCUACGCUGAGUUCCUAUGAGCAAGACUGGAUCUGUUUGCCUUUCCUUUCCAGAACCUGAGGUCUAUGGAGAUGAUUUGCAAAGAUGGCUUCAGCACUUCCACUCGUUAGGUGCAGGCCCCUUUGGAAGUGUGGAGUCUCUGGAAUCUGAGCUUGCCUUGACUUGCACAAACCAUAAAAAUACAGCAGUGCGGUCAUCAGCGGGCAUGGCAGCUUUUGCUUUGAUCCUCUUUCAAGCUGCCUCUUUCAAGCUGCAUGUGCACAGACCUCGUCUGAUCUAUCACGUGAACCCGAGAGGCUGUGAAGCGCAGGCGCCAUGACAGGCAAAGCUCACAUGACUGACUACAGCCAGUGCCAAAAGUUACAUGUAAGAAUGAGGCCAUCUUGGGCCUUUUAGACUCAGGAUAGCCACCAAAAAGCACAGUGGUACUAAUGACCCCAGGAGAAAUCAGCAGAACCUUCCAGCUGAGCCCAACCCUAAAGGUGGGGUCAUGGAAUUGGGAGUAAAUACAAUGUUACUUUAAUCAGCCCCGCCCCCCAUUACUUUAGAAUGUCAUGCCAGGCAGCAACAGAAAAUGGGCACAGGGCAGUUCCUACUGGUAGUAGACUGGAUUACUUCUAAAAACAGAUAUUUAAGACCUAAACCCUUUUACCUGUGAAUGUUAACUUAUUUGGAAAUAAACUUUGAAGAUAUCGAAUUCAGAUAAGGUCUGAGCUGGCAAUGCAGCUAAGUUUGUGGAGUAUUGUGCCUAGCAUGCAGAGAGCCCUGGGCUCUGUGACCAGCACCGCAUAAACUCAGUGUGGUGCUAUGUGCCUCUAAUCCCAGUAUUCAGGAGGUAGAGACCUGAGGAUCUAAAGUUCAAAGGUCAUCCUUGACUGCAUAGUCAGUGUAUCCUUAUGCCAGCUUAUGUGAGUUAUUUUGUGUCUUAUUUUUUUUGUUGUUUGUUUAAAUUUUCCUUGUUUUAUACAGC